GUGUUCUGGUCUCUCUUCCCAGUAAACUCUGGUUAGAGGAGUAGUGUUCUGGCGCUCGCUGGUUAAGGAGUAGUUUUCUGGUCUCUCUCCCAGUAAAACUGGUUAGAGAGAUGUGUUCUGCUCUCUCUCUGGUUAGGAAGUGUGUUCUGGCUCUCUCUCUGGUUAGAGGAGUAGUGUUCUGGUCUCUCUGCUCUGGUUAGAGGAGUAGUAGUGUUCUGGGUCUCGCUCUCUGGUUAGAGGAGUAGUGUUCUGGUCUCUCUCUCUGGUUAGAGGAGUAGUGUUCUGGUCUCUCUCUCUGGUUAGAGAAGUAGUGUUCUGGUCUCUCUCUCUGGUUAGAGGAGUAGUGUUCUGGUCUCUCUCUCUGGUUAGAGGAGUAGUGUUCUGUUCUCUCUUCCCAGUAAAACUCUGGUUAGAGGAGUAG
rnacentral:lncRNA from 1 species